rnacentral:rRNA from 1 species
AUUGAACGCUGGUGGCAUGCCUUACACAUGCAAGUCGAACGGCAGCACGGGUGCUUGCACCUGGUGGCGAGUGGCGAACGGGUGAGUAAUACAUCGGAACAUGUCCUGUAGUGGGGGAUAGCCCGGCGAAAGCCGGAUUAAUACCGCAUACGAUCCACGGAUGAAAGCGGGGGACCUUCGGGCCUCGCGCUAUAGGGUUGGCCGAUGGCUGAUUAGCUAGUUGGUGGGGUAAAGGCCUACCAAGGCGACGAUCAGUAGCUGGUCUGAGAGGACGACCAGCCACACUGGGACUGAGACACGGCCCAGACUCCUACGGGAGGCAGCAGUGGGGAAUUUUGGACAAUGGGCGAAAGCCUGAUCCAGCAAUGCCGCGUGUGUGAAGAAGGACUUCGGGUUGUAAAGCACUUUUGUCCGGAAAGAAAUCCUUGACUCUAAUACAGUCGGGGGAUGACGGUACCGGAAGAAUAAGCACCGGCUAACUACGUG